rnacentral:rRNA from 1 species
UACGAACGGUGCAAGCGUUACUCGGAAUCACUGGGCGUAAAGCGCACGUAGGCGGCCUCGUAGGUCAAUUGUGAAAUACCUGGGCUCAACCCGGGAACUGCAGUUGAAACCGCUUGUCUUGAAUACCUGAGAGGGUGGGGGAAUACCUGGUGGAGAAGUGAAAUUCGUAGAGAUCAGGUGGAACACCGGAGGCGAAGGCGCCUGCCUGGCAGUGUAUUGACGCUGAGGUGCGAAAGUGCGGGGAGCAAACAGG